rnacentral:rRNA from 1 species
AACGAACGCUGGCGGCAUGCCUAACACAUGCAAGUCGAACGAGACCUUCGGGUCUAGUGGCGCACGGGUGCGUAACGCGUGGGAACCUGCCCUUAGGUUCGGAAUAACUCCCCGAAAGGGGUGCUAAUACCGGAUAAUGUCUUCGGACCAAAGAUUUAUCGCCUUUGGAUGGGCCCGCGUUGGAUUAGCUAGUUGGUAGGGUAAAAGCCUACCAAGGCGACGAUCCAUAGCUGGUCUGAGAGGAUGAUCAGCCACACUGGGACUGAGACACGGCCCAGACUCCUACGGGAGGCAGCAGUGGGGAAUAUUGGACAAUGGGCGAAAGCCUGAUCCAGCAAUGCCGCGUGAGUGAUGAAGGCCUUAGGGUUGUAAAGCUCUUUUACCCGGGAUGAUAAUGACAGUACCGGGAGAAUAAGCUCCGGCUAAC